AUGCGAAAAGCCAUGAGGGAGAUCCACAGCCCGCCUCCACAGCCAGAGGACCACAACCGGGCCCUCGACCCCGGACUCGAAGAGGAUCCGGACAUAUUUGUGGAGUUUGACGGCAGGGUGUUUUACCAGGCAAGCUGUGACGGCACCUUGGUGGCCAUCAUCGCCGAUUAUCCCGGCCUCCUCUCGGCAUCACGUGGAAAGCUACUGGCAUGUCGCGCCGAACCCGCGGCGACUCACCAACAAGGGGCGCCCAAGUCGGGUAGGCUUCCAAAAAGGAAAGCGAGCAGAGACAGGGCCGAGUCGCCAUCGAAGAGAAAGAGCAUCCGCCGGAUUAUAUCUAGGGAUCCUUCUCGUCACGCCUCUACCAGCCGGACUCCAGAGCCGUCCUCGACGGUGGAGGCUAAAGUUGAGACGACACUGGAUGGCCGUCCUACAGAGGAUUUAGAUAGAAUAUCCGCUACAAUUUCGAGGUGGAGAGCGCUAUGA
rnacentral:rRNA from 1 species